CUCCAACAAACAUUUUUAAUAUCUCAGUAAUUUCAUCUCAUCAAAAAUGAUGUGUUAGUUGUUCCUUGUAUUUAUACUACUCUAUUAUAAGAAACAAUGAAACAUUUUCUUCUAUUUCUGGUCAUAAUUUGUGGAAUAACCAAAGUUCGUACAUUUGCGGACACAGUUUGCUUUGUUCCCUCACAAAAUCUUGUCGAAUCUUCAUGCAUCGAUCACGCCCAAAGUAUUUUCUACAGAAAGUGUCUGCACCAAAUCUGGGACACAACGUCUAGUUGCUUUUUCACCAGUUUUGGAAAAUUACAUCAAAUUUCAAACUUUACAAUGUUAAAAUCAGAAAAACUUAGACAACUGUACAAAAUUCAAGUCUUCCUCAGUGGUUGUGAUAAAUGGUAUUCGCUGGUGGAAGAGAAUUCAUAUUUCAAGUCUAAUUUUCUUCGAAGAAAUGUUUACGUCGUGUUAAUGGCCAACUUUUCUAUUGCGAAGAUUUUUGAUGGGACAUUUAACGAUGGGGUUAUUACCAACGCUAUACAACAAAAGAUUUGCAGAAAUUCAUCUGAAGAAGUAGUGACUUAUUGUGACGUUUUACCAAAUAGUAUGUCCAAUUGGGCUGAAGUUUUUCUAUACUACUUAAAUUUGGCAUUUUUGAUACUGUCUAUACCAGGUCUGUGUGGCAUUGGUCUCACUGCAAUCAUCUUUAAAGAAUGGCGUAAAAAUACAAAAAACCAAAUACUGCUUUAUUUUGGUAUCGCUCUAGCAGCAAAGCACUUUUCAUCGUUCUGCUUCGAACAAGCAUUAGAUGUCCCAGCAUUAAACGGCCUUGCCUGUUACACAUUUGGAGUACUGUACCAUUACUUCCAACUAGCGCACUUUUCCUGGAUGUUCUUUUUAGGAAUUCAUCAAUUCAAGAGACUUGUCAUUGUUUUUGGAGAACUGGAGAACUUACUCCUAAAAGCUUGCCUUCUAGGAUGGCUUACGCCAGCCAUACCCGUUGUCCUUCUUCUAAUUUGCGAUUACAAAAAUUACGAAGAGUUGUGCAUUCCUAGGGAUUACGGGCUUAUUUUUGCCCUUUGGCUUCCGGCAGCUGCCUUCACACUCUGCAAUGCCAUCAUUUUCUUGUGCAUUUUUUACACCUUAUUGUUCAAAAGACCCGAAAUUCUUCAAAGUCAAGCUAGUGAUAAUCGAGCUUCGAAGUACCUUCGACACGCAAUUCUGCUUACUUUCAUGCUUGGCAUUAAUUGGGUGUUUGUUCUUGGGGAUAUUUUAUUUCCAGAAAAUUUUUUCUUUCGCUUUUUUGCGGUCACGACCAGCCUCCAGGGCUUUGUCCUCUUUCUCUUUUUUAUUGUACUGACUGAAGAAACGCGAAACAUGUAUUUUCAUCUUUUUAGGAAAUGGUUCAGAUGCUUCAGGUGGCAUCAAACAGAAACCUACGUAGUCAGUCUUACCGUUAAUGAGUGAUUGUAAGCAAUUUUCUUUGUGCUCAAAUCAUCGUUUUGUAAAUUCUCAAUAAAAUAAUUAUAAUUUGAGUUUUUACAUAUAAUAAUAAUAAUAAUAAUAAUAAUAAUAAUAAUAAUAAUAAUAAUAAUAAUAAUAAUAAUAAUAAUAAAAAUUACAAAAAGAGAUCUGUAACAGAAUCUAAAAAUUCUAAAAAUUCUAGUUAAUAUGGAAACAAUCAUCAGAAUAUUUAUUCGCAUUUUUUGACGGUGCUUUUAGGAUUAUGUUUCUAUAGGCUCUAGGUGUUAAAAAACUAAUUGAAUCUCUUGCAGACAAUCUUGGCACUAAAAUGCCAACCUUGGAAAGUAGAUAAAAGCAAUCAAUCUUUAAAGAUAAUAAGUUUGAACCCCCCUUUUGAUAUAAUUAGAUAUAAGAAAUCAUCUUCUGUUUUGCUUAUCAGAAUUAAGGUCCAAUAUUUUAGAUGGAUCUUCUACUCGUAAAAUAUGAACACAGAAUAAUUCCUAAUAAAAUUACUCUACACGGAGAAAACUGUCUGUUAAAAUUUGUCUAGUACGUUUUUUCUAAUAUUUUUAAUAUUUUCUUUUGUUAGCAUUAAUAUUUAUUACAUUACUAACUAAAUAUUUUUUUUAAUAAGAUUAAUAUAUUUUUUGAUGCAAAUUAAAUACGUCUGUACAUAAUUUCUAUUGUCCAAAAAGAUUAUACAUUACGCAUUAAUACCUAGGUGCCAGGUUUUGUUAAUGGUUAACUUAUGGUAUAUUAAAAUGUGAGAGAACAUUUUUAACAAAUUAUUUUAUUACCAUUUAAUAAACUUUGCGACUAUCCUUAUUUUUAAUGAAAAUUCUAAUAGUGUGUAUUAUAUUUUUUAUAAAGUGUAAUGGAUUUUCUUCUCUGUGUAAUAAAUCUGGUUAUUUGCGCUAUUUGCAGAAAUAUUUAAUAAUAAAUAUUUGUUAAGCAGCUGUUUGUAGUGUUAUUAAAAAUUAUGAAUCAUGAGCUACAGUCACAAUCGGAGAUAUGCUAACAAUCAUGGCUAAAUGUUACAGUAAAGUUUAUUGAGUUAUGUAAUUUGAUGGCGAAAGGUUGGUGCUUCAAAAAUCGUCAAAAAUCUCGUAAAGCACUUCCUUUCAAGUCCUGCCAUGGGAUGGAAUUAAUUAAUCCUUUCGAAUCCUUGCACAAUCCUGCCGUUGCAUGUCGUGUGACUCCAUUGAGUAAGGAUGGCAUGACUGUGCGUGUAAUGGGAAAAAAUGGAUUGCAGACGCAUUUCGUAAUUGUUGAAGAAGACGCUCAAUUUCAGAUGAGUCGCAACCGAGCAGAAAAUUGAAAAAUGGACACACUUUUACCGGUUUUUGGAGCAAGGUCGACACGGAUCCACGACCGUUGUGUUUUAAUAUUGAUGAUUCAUUUUUAAACUUGCUCUCUUCGCUUCCGAGCGGAAACUGUGCGCUUUCCGGCGAUUGAGGGAUUAAGCAUUUAUCCAUUCAACUAUCAAGUUUCUAAGCCAUCAAAUUAAAUCUGAUUUAAAAAAUUGUAUAAUCUUGUAUUUCGAAAGAGCAAAUACGAGGCAACGUAAAACUGUGUGAUAUACGACAUUCCAUGUGGUGAAAAUGCCAACAUCGCUAGGCAAAUAUUCGUGUGAAAACGCUUUCGGCAUGAAUCACAUGCAGAACUUCCCAUUGUUAUUUUUCAUUAUUUAAAUAAAAAUUUAAGCUCA